UCCGGUUUGGCACCGGCAGUCUCCCUAGAGUUCCCGGCAUCACCCGCUGGCAACUAAGGACAGGGGUUGCGCUCGUUGCGCCACUUAAGGCAACACCUCACGGCACGAGCCGACGACAGCCAUGCACCACCUGUGCAGGCUCCGUAGAGCGCCGGCUUUCACCGGCUUUACCCUGCAUGUCGAGCCCAGGUAAGGUUCUUCGCGUCGCAUCGAAUUAAGCCGCAUGCUCCGCCGCUUGUGCGGGCCCCCGUCAAUUCCUUUGAGUUUUAGCCUUGCGGCCGUACUCCCCAGGCGGGGUGCUUAAUGCGUUAGCUUCGGCACGGAUGGGGUCGAUACCCCCGACACCUAGUCCUCAUCGUUUACAGCGUGGACUAC
rnacentral:misc_RNA from 1 species